AUUGAACGCUGGCGGCAGGCUUAACACAUGCAAGUCGAACGAACGGAGGAGGGGUGGGUAAUGUAUUGAAAACUGCCUAAUAGAGGGGGAUAACAAGUGGAAAAGGUAGAUAAUGCCGCUUAACGUCAGUUGUGCCCAGAUGGGAUUGGCUAGUAGGUGUGGUAAUGGCUCACUUAGGCGUCGAUCCUUCGCUGGUCUGAGAGGAUUACCAGCCACACUGGAACUGAGACACGGUCCAGACUCCUACGGGAGGCAGCAGUGGGGAAUAUUGCACAAUGGGCGCAAGCCUGAUGCAGCCAUGCCGCGUGUGUGAAGAAGGCCUUCGGGUUGUAAAGCACUUUCAGCGAGGAGGCGUUACUCGCAGAAGAAGCACCGGCUAACUCCGUGCCAGCAGCCGCGGUAAUAC
rnacentral:rRNA from 1 species